UACGUAGGGGGCGAGCGUUAUCCGGAAUUACUGGGCGUAAAGCGCACGCAGGCGGUUCGCCAAGUUUGGAGUGACAGUUGUCGGCUCAACCGACAAAGGACUUCAAAAACUGGUGAACUUGGAGGACGAGAGAGGAACAUGGAACUCCAGGUGUAGUAGUGAAAUGCGUAGAUAUCUGGAAGAACACCAAUGGCGAAGGCAAUGUUCUGGCUCGUUUCUGACGCUCAGGUGCGAAAGCCAGGGGAGCGAACGGG
rnacentral:rRNA from 1 species